rnacentral:lncRNA from 1 species
CUAGGUAGCGUGCCCGUGCGUUGCUACGGGACAUCUAAAAUUUUAUACUAAAAAAAUACGUAUCGCAUAAUAGGAUAACAAUACUAUAAAAUUAAUUAAUUCAAAAGGCAAAGUUUGCCCAUGUGUUGAUCCAAAAAGAAAAUAUAACACCAUGACAAUUAGAGUUUACCCAUGUAUUGUUGUAUUACUAAAAACAAUGUGUAAUCAUGGACUCUUUACCAUCUUUAUUUUCCAGCCUUUUUGACUCAGUAUGCAAUAUUGUGUAACCAUGGCCGCCUUCACCUUUCCAGCUUGUGGGGCAGUCCACUCUGUUCUGUAUUGGAUCUUUGAUGUUGCAAGCCUGAAGGUACGUGAGCAAGUAAUUAAGGUUAAAUGGCUAGGCCGCCAGGGGCUAAAAGAUCACAGGAAAUAGUUGUGAUUAUCCAAUCAAGAAACGACAUCAAAACAUACCCUGAUUCAUGAGAUAUCUUAGCAGUGACUAAGUUCAUUCGUGCAUAGGAUAAUUAUAUGAAAAGAUCUAUUCUGUCCAUAGUAAAGUCAAUGGAGACAAAUAAUCUUUCCAGCCAUUGCAAACCUUCAAUCAAAAUGCUUGAUACACAAAAACUAAGGAUAUCGAAUUUCGUGCACAUAUCUAGGUGAAUGAAAAAAUCUCACACACAACAAAAAAUUACCUUGCAAUGAAGACAAUUCUAAAUUUAUGUAAGGCUUUGCGCCUUUGUGUCACCUUUCUCAUCAAAGACACAUCUACAUGAAAACAGGCAUAACCAAUAGUGAUAAGCAAAUUCUUGGCUACUAAGCAUUUUAGCAUCAUGGGACUAAUAGGAAUUCAACAAGCAUUUUAUUGUACAAGCAUGUGGAAAUAUCAUAUGUGCAGUAAACUAUUUACGGUUGAAAAAGGCUAUCCCAGUAUUCACCAAUCAUAAAAAGGAAAAGAGGUUUUCAUUCCUCAAGAAAAGCCCACAUAUAAGAAGGGAUAGAUAAAGUUAAAGAUAUUCUAGAAAAAAAGAUGACCCCAGGUAUUUCAAACCAAUAAUCGACAUUGUCUUUUUCAGUCUAUGAUUGUACAAGUCCUUGUGGCCAUAUAUAAGAAGGGACAGAUAAAUUUAAAGACAUUUUUCAACAUUAGUGCAAGAGGACAUGCCUUGGGCAAGAUGGCUGCCCACUUUCUCCCUAGCCUUAUCUUCUUUCUGAACCCAUAACUCAUGCUCUGUCCCACAACAGUAGCAAUGGACAAUUAAAAUGCGCACAAUUCAAGUUCAAAAUGUGUCGAACACGUUCCGAGUACUAAGAACAAUGCCAGCAUUAGAACCAAAACCUGAUUAGUGUAAGAAAGUUUUCCUGACAUCAAUUGUUCAUCCUAUGCAUUUGGAUCCGGUAGUUAUUUUAAAAAUGGUACACAUCUAGAAACUUAUUUUAAAUAUACAGGAAAUAGAAAAUUGUCAUUUCAUAAUCUAGCAAAGUGACACUUUCCAAACCUAUUUGUGCUAAAAACACAAGCUGUUGUAACCUACAGGUAUAAUGUAGAGUCAAACAUCCUUACAUGUACAUGCCACAACCUUCACCAAAUAUACAUUGCUCGAUCACAAUUGGUUUCUGAUCUUUAGGAAUACAACCUAAGCCAAAUUGAGUUUGAUGCUAUGAAACAAUGCACAAUGAAAUUACCAGGUCAGCGUGAACUUGGUUAAUAACCUGACAUUAGAGGUAGAGCUUUGACCAAAUAGAAAUAAGCAGUCUAAGUAAUUAAGUGCUGAACACCUAAGAAAAGUAUCAAAAUUCUGGUUUACCGAUUGGAGAUUAAGUUGGACAGGGAGCAGUGGUCCACCUUGGUCUCAACACAUGGAUUAGCUGGUUCGGCUGCAAGAUGCCUAGGGUGGUAGCUCUCUUCUGUUGCAAUACAUCUUAUCAGCUCAAGUACUGAAAUACCAUGUACAAUAGUAAUUAAUUCUCUGCAAAAAAAAAACUGUGUGAGAUUGAAUCUGCAAGCACAAAAAAACAGAACUGGCCAAAGCUUAAAAACCUUUUGCAUCUAAAUGCAAUAUCUUGUCUCAUGUCUCACCUAUUCAAGUCAAAAUGCACCAGCUGCAUGUCUUCUGAUAUCUCGACUUGCACAGCUCCAUAAGAUGAAGUCUGCAAUAAAGAAGUUCUAAAACCAUGUGCAAUCUAGAUGCUACUGCUUUUGCCAUCUAGAGUAAUAUUAAUAUAGAAGCAUCCCACAAGAAACUGCAUCUAAAAAACAUCCCAAAAGAAACUGCAUUUGCCCAGAUUAUUUGCCCAUCUACCACUAUAUGUACUAUUUUACCAUCUAAAAAGAAAUAGCUGCAAACAUUUCUACAUUCUAUGUAGUGUCAAACAAACUCAUCCUUGUGCAGAGAAUUAAUCUGCCAAUAAUUUCCUGUUUUUUUCAAAAAAAAUCUACCAAUAAUCAAUUAAGUAAACUAAUGAUAUCUAUUAUGGGUCAAAUUAUUGAUCGAGAUUGGACUGAAGUGAAUACAACUAUAUGAACAUGGCUAGCAAAUUUUAGGAGAGUUUUUCCCUCUCCUUCAUUGCCUUUGCUUGGAAAUUGGAAACAAAAGGCACUGCCUCAUCAGACUAUCUGUGAACUUGUGUACGGCUAAAUGUUGUAGUGUCUUUUUUUUUUAUCUUUUCGCUCAUAAACAGAUCCUCAUACAGAGAUCAAGAGAAGAAGCUAAAAUAUGUUUUAUUAAUCCUAAAAGCAAAAGCAAGAUCUUAAAAUGACUUCAAAAUGGCAUCUGCAGUCCAUAUUGCGGAUGCUGGAAAAUCAGCAUGUAUUGAUUUGUAUGUUUGACUAAUUGAACUAUGCAAUGCAACCUUGUCAUCAAGAACCAUGAUCCCGAUGCAGCUAUAGGGUUGGAAUGAAGAGCAUGUGCUGCACAGUGAUAGAAUUAUAUAAAAGACAGCUGGAUUUAAAGUUCUUAUUCAGCACUUACACGUCCAGAGAAUCACCGUUCUUAUUCAGUCUACAGAACAAAAUAUUUCAGCAUAUACCUCCCCGGAUUCAACUGGAGCAAGCUCUAGCGCCCAGCAGUUUCACCGUGUCGAUCUGCUCGUGCAUGUCGUCCAGAGUAGUCACUGCAGC